GUCGAGGGGCAGCAUGGUCUUAGCUUGCUAAGACUGAUGGCGACCGGCGCACCGUUGAGUAACACGUAUCCAACCUGCCGUCUACUCUUGGACAGCCUUCUGAAAGGAAGACUAAUACAAGAUGGCAUCAUGAGUCCGCAUGUUCACAUGAUUAAAGGUAUUCCGGUAGACGAUGGGGAUGCGUUCCAUUAGAUAGUAGGCGGGGUAACGGCCCACCUAGUCUUCGAUGGAUAGGGGUUCUGAGAGGAAGGUCCCCCACAUUGGAACUGAGACACGGUCCAAACUCCUACGGGAGGCAGCAGUGAGGAAUAUUGGUCAAUGGGCGAGAGCCUGAACCAGCCAAGUAGCGUGAAGGAUGACUGCCCUAUGGGUUGUAAACUUCUUUUAUAAAGGAAUAAAGUCGGGUAUGGAUACCCGUUUGCAUGUACUUUAUGAAUAAGGAUCGGCUAACUCCGUGCCAGCAGCCGCGGUAAUACGGAGGAUCCGAGCGUUAUCCUGAUUUAUUGGGUUUAAAGGGAGCGUAGAUGGAUGUCUAAGUCAGUUGUGAAAGUUUGCGGCUCAACCGUAAAAUUGCAGUUGAUACUGGAUAUCUUGAGUGCAGUUGAGGCAGGCGGAAUUCGUGGUGUAGCGGUGAAAUGCUUAGAUAUCACGAAGAACUCCGAUUGCGAAGGCAGCCUGCUAAGCUGCAACUGACAUUGAGGCUCGAAAGUGUGGGUAUCAAACAGGAUUAGAUACCCUGGUAGUCCACACGGUAAACGAUGAAUACUCGCUGUUUGCGAUAUAC
rnacentral:rRNA from 1 species